rnacentral:rRNA from 1 species
UACGAAGGGGGCUAGCGUUGCUCGGAAUGACUGGGCGUAAAGGGCGCGUAGGCGGAUGGCACAGUCAGAUGUGAAAUUCCCGGGCUUAACCUGGGGGCUGCAUUUGAUACGUGUUGUCUUGAGUUCGGAAGAGGGUCGUGGAAUUCCCAGUGUAGAGGUGAAAUUCGUAGAUAUUGGGAAGAACACCGGUGGCGAAGGCGGCGACCUGGUCCGACACUGACACUGAGGCGCGAGAGCGUGGGGAGCAAACAGG